rnacentral:lncRNA from 1 species
CAAUCUUCUAGUACAGAAAAAUUGAAACUUUUUCCAACAUUUCUGAGAUUUUCCAAAUCAGAUUCUCCAAGUUGAACUGAACUAUCAAGUGGCUCACAUAAUUUUCAAACUUGAUUAUGUUUUUUGUGGCAGUGGAAGAUGAGGAUGAUUCAGCCACUAAGAACAGCAACAACACAGAUGAUUUUGCUAUAGAGCCUCGUGAAGGGAUUGAAUUUGAAUCCGAGGAUGCUGCUAAGAUGUUCUAUGAUGAUUACUCUAGACGUUUAGGGUUUGUAAUGCGUGUAAUGUCGUGCCGGAGAUCCGAGAAAGACGGAAGAAUCCUUGCCCGGAGAUUCGGUUGUAACAAAGAAGGUCAUUGUGUUAGUAUCCGUGGUAAGUUUGGAUCAGUUAGGAAACCAAGACCGAGUACAAGAGAAGGUUGCAAAGCCAUGAUUCAUGUUAAGUAUGACAGGUCUGGCAAAUGGGUCAUUACCAAAUUCGUCAAAGAACAUAAUCAUCCACUCGUUGUUUCACCUCGCGAGGCUCGCCAUACUCUGG